GAUGAAGAACGUAGCGAAAUGCGAUAAGUAAUGUGAAUUGCAGAAUUCAGUGAAUCAUCGAAUCUUUGUACGCACAUUGCGCCCGCCAGUAUUCUGGCGGGCAUGCCUGUUCGAGCGUCAUUUCAACCCUCAGGCCCCCAGUGCCUGGUGUUGGGGAUCGGCCCAGCCUUCCUGUAAGGCCGCCGGCCCCGAAAUCUAGUGGCGGUCUCGCUGUAGUCCUCCUCUGCGUAGUAGCACAACCUCGCAGUUGGAACGCGGCGGUGGCCAUGCCGUUAAACACCCCACUUCUGAAAGUUGACCUCGGAUCAGGUAGGAAUACCCGCUGAACUUAAGCAUAUCAAUAAGCGGAGGA
rnacentral:misc_RNA from 1 species